rnacentral:rRNA from 1 species
GAUGAACGCUGGCGGCGUGCCUAAUACAUGCAAGUCGAGCGAACAGAUCAGGAGCUUGCUCCUUUGACGUUAGCGGCGGACGGGUGAGUAACACGUGGGUAACCUACCUAUAAGACUGGGAUAACUUCGGGAAACCGGAGCUAAUACCGGAUAAUAUUUCGAACCGCAUGGUUCGAUAGUUAAAGAUGGUUUUUCUAUCACUUAUAGAUGGCCCCGCGCCGUAUUAGCUAGUUGGUAAGGUAACGGCUUACCCAGGCGACGAUACGUAGCCGACCUGAGAGGGUGAUCGGCCACACUGGAACUGAGACACGGUCCAGACUCCUACGGGAGGCAGCAGUAGGGAAUCUUCCGCAAUGGGCGAAAGCCUGACGUGGCAACGCCGCGUGAGGGAUGAAGGUCCUCGGAUCGUAAAACGCUGUUAUUAGGGAAGAACAUAAGUGUAAGUAACUGUGCACGUCUUGACGGUACCUAAUCAGAAAGCCACGGCUAACUACGUG